rnacentral:tRNA from 1 species
GCCCGGAUGAUGGAAUUGGUAGACAUACCGGACUUAAAAUCCGGAGCGGAAGCGUGCGGGUUCGAGUCCCGCUCCGGGUACCA